rnacentral:sRNA from 1 species
AAACAGGUGAUUUUUAUCACCACCCACACCAACAAAGCCGAUUCU